CCUAGUGGCGGACGGGUGAGUAACGCGUGACCAACCUACCCAUAAGUUGGGGAUGACACUGGGAAACUGGUGCUAAUACCGCAUAAGCUUGUUAUCUCGCAUGGGGGACACAGUAAAGAUGGCCUAUAGGGGCUAUCGCUUAUGGAUGGGCUCGCGUCUGAUUAGCUAGUUGGUGGGGUAACGGCCUACCAAGGCGACGA
rnacentral:rRNA from 1 species